rnacentral:rRNA from 1 species
GACGAACGCUGGCGGCAGGCCUAACACAUGCAAGUCGAGCGCGCCCUUCGGGGUGAGCGGCGGACGGGUGAGUAACGCGUGGGAACGUGCCCUUUUCUACGGAAUAGCCUCGGGAAACUGAGAGUAAUACCGUAUACGCCCUUUGGGGGAAAGAUUUAUCGGAAAAGGAUCGGCCCGCGUUGGAUUAGGUAGUUGGUGGGGUAAUGGCCUACCAAGCCGACGAUCCAUAGCUGGUUUGAGAGGAUGAUCAGCCACACUGGGACUGAGACACGGCCCAGACUCCUACGGGAGGCAGCAGUGGGGAAUCUUAGACAAUGGGGGCAACCCUGAUCUAGCCAUGCCGCGUGAGUGAUGAAGGCCUUAGGGUUGUAAAGCUCUUUCAGCUGGGAAGAUAAUGACGGUACCAGCAGAAGAAGCCCCGGCUAACUCCGUG